rnacentral:rRNA from 1 species
UAGGGAAUCUUCCGCAAUGGGCGAAAGCUUGACGGAGCAACGCCGCGUGAGUGAUGAAGGUCUUCGGAUCGUAAAACUCUGUUAUUAGGGAAGAACAACUGUGUAAGUAACUAUGCACGUCUUGACGGUACCUAAUCAGAAAGCCACGGCUAACUACGUGCCAGCAGCCGCGGUAAUACGUAGGUGGCAAGCGUUAUCCGGAAUUAUUGGGCGUAAAGCGCGCGUAGGAGGUUUUUUAAGUCUGAUGUGAAAGCCCACGGCUCAACCGUGGAGGGUCAUUGGAAACUGGAAAACUUGAGUGCAGAAGAAGAAAGUGGAAUUCCAGGUGUAGCGGUGAAAUGCGAAGAGAUAUGGAGGAACACCAGUGGCGAAGGCGGCUUUCUGGUCUGAAACUAACGCUGAUGUGCGAAAAAGGGGGGAUCAAACAGG